rnacentral:rRNA from 1 species
UACGUAGGGUGCAAGCGUUAAUCGGAAUUACUGGGCGUAAAGCGUGCGCAGGCGGCUUUGCAAGACAGAUGUGAAAUCCCCGGGCUCAACCUGGGAACUGCAUUUGUGACUGCAAGGCUAGAGUACGGUAGAGGGGGAUGGAAUUCCGCGUGUAGCAGUGAAAUGCGUAGAUAUGCGGAGGAACACCGAUGGCGGAGGCAAUCCCCUGGACCUGUACUGACGCUCAUGCACGAAAGCGUGGGGAGCAAACAGG